UUAAAUCCCAUCUUAAUCGCAACAAUGUCAAGAUUGAACUUACAAGAGUUGUGAUAUCUACGUAUCCGACUAGUUGAUAUAUGGUCAGUAUAAUAUAAUAUUGGUGAACAUAGCCUUAACGAAGGAGACGGUUGUUACUCGGUUCGUCCAACGGACUAGUAUGCAUCUCGCUCCAACUUCCAUAAACUAGAUCUUUAUGGUGUGGUUUGGUUAUGAUUCAAUAGAAAAAGAACUAUAAGAUUGUUUUAGCGGAUUAGGAAAAGUACAUUAAAGAAUCAUAACCAAAGCCAAUACAAAGAGUCUGUUUCUAGAACUAGGGGAUUCAGCACUUUCUUAAAUUCUGUAGUCAAAGGAUUGACGAUUACAACUUCAUCAAAGUGUGGGAAGAUGCAUACCAUACCAUUGUACGAACCGACUAGACAACUAUCACCAAGUUAAAAACAUGGUCAUGUACAUUAUACUAACAAUACAUAAAGUAGCCAUGAUAUGUAGUUAUAAUAAAUAUGGUUAAGAUAAGAUUUAAUGGCAAGCCACCCAGAAGCUAAAUAUGGUUAAGAUGAGACACUUACACAUACACUUCCAUCUAAAAAAACCCGCACCUCCAAUCCUUUUAGUAUAUCUCUCCAUAGUCACAGAUCAAAGAUGUGUAGAUACCCUAUGUUUAGAGAAUCAGUUGUAAAUAAGAAAAUAUAGUGUGUCUGAUCUAUUGACAUUUUUCGUUUGAUGUUAGGUUUAUAUAACUUUUUGCAGCCUAUGUAACAA
rnacentral:lncRNA from 1 species